UACGUAGGGUGCAAGCGUUAAUCGGAAUUACUGGGCGUAAAGCGUGCGCAGGCGGUUAUGUAAGACAGUUGUGAAAUCCCCGGGCUCAACCUGGGAACUGCAUCUGUGACUGCAUAGCUAGAGUACGGUAGAGGGGGAUGGAAUUCCGCGUGUAGCAGUGAAAUGCGUAGAUAUGCGGAGGAACACCGAUGGCGAAGGCAAUCCCCUGGGCCUGCACUGACGCUCAUGCACGAAAGCGUGGAGAGCAAACAGG
rnacentral:rRNA from 1 species